GUUAAGGAGCUCAUGGAGCGUUCUGCCUUUAGCUGGUGACAAGCAGGACAGGGGCUGGUGCAGGCAGAGUCAGGACCAGGACAAGGGGAGCUGCCCUCCUCAUCCCCGACUCUCAAAUCCCUUACCCCACCCACCUCUUCUCGUACCUGGGCCAGGGCACAGGCGCUGGAGAGCAGCCAGAAAGGGCAGUCGAGGCAAAGUGGGCACAUCUCGAAGCUGUCCUUGCUGCCACACAGUUCCUGCCUGCAAGGCAUGGAGCGGAGGGGUGGGAGCUAAUGGGGGAGGGGGGCUGCUUGCUCCUCCCAGCCAGGCGCCUCCCUUGUCCUCUCUCUCCCUUGUCCUCUCUGUCCACCACUGCCUUUGCCAGUCUGAGGGCCUGGUGGGGCUGGGAGGGAGGGGUAGGCCUGUGGCUGCACAGGCAGCUGCGAGGAUGCCUUAAGCCUCACACACACAGAGGGGGCGUGUGGAGGAUUUUGAGAAAAUAAGGGCUGUCUACGUUUUAAAAAACCAUCUUAGGCUGGGCGUGGCGGCUCACACUUAUAAUCCCAGCACUUUUGGAGGCCAAGGCGGGCGGAUCACCUGAGGUCAGGAGUUCAAGACCUGCCCAACCAACAUGGCGAAACCCCGUCUCUACUACAAACACAAAAAUUAACCGGGCGUGGUGGGGCGCACCUGUAGUCCCAGCUACUCGGGAGGCUGAGGCAGGAGAAUGGUGCGAAGGGAGGCAGAGGUUGCAGUGAGCCGAGAUUGUGCCACUGCAUUCCAGCCUGGGUGAGAGUGAGACUCCAUCUCAAAAAAAACACAAAAAACAAAAAACAAAAAAC
rnacentral:lncRNA from 10 species